ensembl:lncRNA
ACUUGAAUUGAAUUGAGACAGAGUAUAGAGAGAGAGAGUAUAGAGAGAGAGAGUAUAGAGAGAGAGACUAUAGAGAGAGAGAGUAUAGAGAGAGAGACUAUAGAGAGAGAGAGUAUAGAGAGAGAGUAUAGAGAGUAGAGAGAGUAUAGAGAGAGAGUAUAGAGAGAGAGAGUAUAGAGAGAGAGUAUAGAGAGAGAGUAUAGAGAGUAGAGAGAAUAUAGAGAGAGAGAGUAUAGAGAGAGAGAGUAUAGAGAUAGAGAGAAUAUAGAGAGAGAGACUAUAUAGAGAGAGACUAUAUAGAGAGACUAUAGAGAGAGAGACUAUAGAGAGAGAGAGAGUAUAGAGAGAGUAUAGAGAGUAGAGAGAAUAUAGAGAGAGAGUAUAGAGAGAGAGAGUAUAGAGAGAGAGUAUAGAGAGAGAGUAUAGAGAGAGAGAGUAUAGAGAGAGAGAAUAUAGAGAGAGAG